UCAUGUCUUUGCUCCAUAAUCUGCUCAAACCCCUUUCUAAACUCAACGAGACUUUCCACCUGCAUCUCCAAACCUCGGAUCUUUUCCUCCAUCAGCUCUAUGAGACAGCAUUUUAUGCAUACAAAACUCUUACAGGUACCCCCUCCAGAAUCAUGUACAUACCGCAGCUUCCACAUCCAAUCAUCUUCAUUGUGUCUUCCACUACAUGAUGGGUUUCAGAAUAGCAGCCGUGUUAGUCUGUAUUCGCAAAAAGAAAAGGCGUA